rnacentral:rRNA from 1 species
AUUGAACGCUGGCGGCAUGCCUUACACAUGCAAGUCGAACGGUAACGGGCCUUCGGGUGCCGACGCGUGGCGAACGGGUGAGUAAUACAUCGGAACGUGCCCGACCGUGGGGGAUAACGAGGCUAAAGCUUUGCUAAUACCACAUACGAUCUACGGAUGAAAUCCGUGGACGGCAAUGCAUUGCGCGGACGGAGCGGCCGGUGGCCGAGUCGGUUGUUGGUGGGGUUAAAGCUUUCGAUGCCGACGAGCUGUAGCUGGACCGAGAGGAUGAUCGGCCACACUGGGAGUGAGACACGGACCAGGCUCCUACGGGAGGCAGCAGUGGGGAACGUUGGACAAUGGGCGCAAGCCUGAUCCAGCCAUGGCGCGUGCAGGAUGAAGGCCCUCGGGUUGUAAACUGCUUUUGUACGGAACGAAAAGCCUUCUUUUAAUACAGGGGGGUAAUGACGGUACCGGAAGAAGAAGCACCGGCUAACUACGUG